UCGUUAUCAUAGACUAAUAUAUAAUACUGGAAGUCGUUAUUUUAAUGCUUUAAAGUUGUUUUUUGACACAGAACUGCUCUAAUAAUUAAUAUUAAUUUAUAUGGAACGGUGGUAUGGUAACUUCUAACUUAAUGUUUACAGAUUGUUUAAUCGUUAAUCAUAAUGGACCGCAAAAAAUAUCGUUGGUGCGUAGUACCUGAAUGUACCAAUACUUCUAUAUCUUCACCAAACAAAUUAUUUAUUGAUGUACCACGAAAAGCAGAUAUACGAAUAAAGUGGUUGCAGUUAGCAAGACGAAACUACGACGGAAUGUCUGCAGAAUCACCGAUUUACUUCUGUGAGGAUCACUUUAAUCUGCCAAAUGAUAUGGAAAAUUAUAUGCGGUACCAUAUAAUGGGCUCCGUAAAGAAAAUAAGGAUGAAACCUGGAUGCCUGCCAUCUAAAUUUAAUUGUCAAACAGAUAGGAAAACAAAUGUCAUCAACAAGUAUAUGUGACCCUGCUGUGAUCAAAAGGCAAAGACUUGCUCUUAUAUAAGAAGCCUUAAAAGAAAUUGAAUUGAAAAGUAAUGAAGAAAACACAACUCAGUCUGUUGGUGAAACCAAUGCUGAAUUUGUACAUCAACUUCAGCAAAAAAGUGAGGAUAAAAGUGUACAAGUUCAAAUGAAAACAAAAUAUUUUAGAAAAUAUACACAAACUGAACACAAAUCUAAGACUAUUGCAACAUCACUGCCUAAAAUAUGGACUUCGACCAUAUCAACAUCUCCUUUUAAAUUUGAAUAUAUAGAUUUAAGAACAAGUGUAUGUCAAAAAAAUAAAAACUCUUUUAAAAAUC